rnacentral:RNase_P_RNA from 2 species
UUCUUUGAGUGAUCGCAGCUUGUAUUAGCUGAGGAAAGUCCAUACUCGCACAAGCUGAGAUGCUUGUAGUGUUCAACGCUAAACGAAACAAUAAGUUUAGGUAUUCUUUCUAAGAGUAACGGCAGACAAUAUAACCUAAGUAAUUAUUUAUAUUAUAUGGUUGUAUAUAUCUUGAAAGUGCCACAGUGACGAAGUUUUUAUAGAAAUAUAAAAAGUGGAACGAGGUAAACCCCUUGAGCGAGCAAUUCAAAUUUUGGUAGAAGCACUGAUUUUGCAGAAAUGAAUGUAAAAAUCGGAAAUAUAAUUUAUAUUUAGACAGAUGAUCAUAACUAUUUUUACGAGAGUAAACUAGGCUCGUUAUAGUAAGAUAGAUACAGAAUAUGGCUUAUGAUA